rnacentral:tRNA from 1 species
GGGGUGCAGCUCAGUGGUAGAGCACUUGCCUGGCAUGCACAAGGCCCUGGGUUUCAUCCCUAGCAUCACG